GUUAAUCAAGGAAGUUGGUGAUGGUACUUUUGGAAGUGUCUGGCGAGCUAUCAAUAAGCAGACUGGGGAAGUUGUUGCAAUCAAGAAAAUGAAGAAAAAAUAUUACACAUGGGAGGAGUGUGUCAAUCUGAGAGAAGUGAAGUCAUUGCGCAAGAUGAAUCAUCCAAAUAUUGUGAAGCUCAAAGAAGUUAUCAGGGAAAACAAUAUCUUGUACUUUGUAUUCGAAUACAUGGAAUGCAAUCUUUACCAACUUAUGAAGGAUAAGGAAAAGCUCUUCUCAGAAGCUGAAGUGCGGAGUUGGUGCUUUCAAGUUUUUCAAGGUCUUGCCUACAUGCAUCAGCGGGGAUAUUUUCACCGUGACCUCAAACCAGAAAAUUUAUUAGUUGCUAAAGACUUGAUAAAACUUGCUGAUUUUGGGCUUGCUCGUGAAACUAGUGCUAUACCACCCUAUACUGAGUAUGUUUCAACACGGUGGUACAGAGCUCCAGAGGUGCUGCUUCAGUCCUAUCUCUAUGGUCCUAAAGUUGAUAUGUGAGCAAUGGGUGCUAUAAUGGCGGAG
rnacentral:misc_RNA from 1 species